rnacentral:rRNA from 1 species
GCAUAUCAAUAAGCGGAGGAAAAGAAACCAACAGGGAUUGCCUCAGUAACGGCGAGUGAAGCGGCAACAGCUCAAAUUUGAAAUCUGGCCCUUUCAGGGUCCGAGUUGUAAUUUGUAGAGGAUGUUUCGGGUGUGGCUCCGGUCUAAGUUCCUUGGAACAGGACGUCAUAGAGGGUGAGAAUCCCGUAUGUGACUGGUAGCCUAUGCUCAUGUGAAACUCCUUCGACGAGUCGAGUUGUUUGGGAAUGCAGCUCAAAAUGGGUGGUAAAUUUCAUCUAAAGCUAAAUAUUGGCCAGAGACCGAUAGCGCACAAGUAGAGUGAUCGAAAGAUGAAAAGCACUUUGGAAAGAGAGUUAAACAGUACGUGAAAUUGUUGAAAGGGAAGCGCUUGCAACCAGACUUGCAUGUAGCUGAUCAACCGGUGUUCUCACCGGUGCACUCAGUUGCGUUCAGGCCAGCAUCGGUUUCGACGGUUGGAUAAAGGCCUUGGGAAUGUAGCUCCUCUCGGGGAGUGUUAUAGCCCAGGGUGCAAUGCAGCCUGUUGGGACCGAGGACCGCGCUUCGGCUAGGAUGCUGGCGUAAUGGUUGUAAGCGACCCGUCUUGAAACACGGACCAAGGAGUCUAACAUCUAUGCGAGUGUUUGGGUGUCAAACCCAUACGCGUAAUGAAAGUGAACGGAGGUGAGAACCCUUAAGGGUGCAUCAUCGACCGAUCCUGAUGUCUUCGGAUGGAUUUGAGUAAGAGCAUAGCUGUUGGGACCCGAAAGAUGGUGAACUAUGCCUGAAUAGGGUGAAGCCAGAGGAAACUCUGGUGGAGGCUCGCAGCGGUUCUGACGUGCAAAUCGAUCGUCAAAUUUGGGUAUAGGGGCGAAAGACUAAUCGAACCAUCUAGUAGCUGGUUCCUGCUCGAAG